AGGAAGGUGAGGAUGAUGUCAAGUCAGCAUGACCUUUAUAUCCAGGGCUACACACACGCUACAAUGGUCUGUACAAUGGGUAGCCAAGCCGCGAGGCGGAGCCAAUCCUGAAAGCAGGCCUCAGUUCAGAUUGCAGUCUGCAACUCGACUGCAUGAAGCCGGAGUUGCUAGUAACCGCAGGUCAGCAAUACUGCGGUGAAUACGUUCCCGGGUCUU
rnacentral:rRNA from 1 species